GAGUACACAGGCCACUAAUCGAUUGAACCAGUUGUCAUUUUACUGCCGGCACCCCACAGAUUAGUUCUCGAACAGAUCUUCUUCAUCGUUCUCUUACCACUAAAAGCGUAGUUCGCAUCAAUAUGCGCCCGUCUGCUGACUUCCAGACUCCCGCUCUCAGGAAGACGAGUGUGGAAUCCGUUAUUCCGAAGGAAAAGAAGGUCGAAUAUCGAGCUGCCUAUAAACAGCAGCAGGAGCGUUCAAAGGAUGACCCAAAAAAAGGACAGAACGGUAUCUGGGGUCCUACAUUCACCAAUCGUCAGCACUUCAACGACCUGCACUUCUGUUAGACUUCACCGUCAUAUAGCAGAUACUGUCACUUUCCGAUUCCUUCGAUAAUGACCUCGUAUGGUUUUGCCGAUGGCGUCGGUAAAAUAUUCGAACUACCUGCUUGUUGUCGGAGUUGAAACUCAGUUUCAGAUGCAGAUGGGCCUGUUACGACGCAUGUCGUUGUAACAGUACACACACAUUGUUGGACCAACCUAAAAAAAAGAGGAAGAACCAAACACAAAGCUUUUUAUGAAUUCUAGAGACAAAAUCUUGCUUCGAAGGCCUUAUUGGCACGGAUCUGGUGCUAGUAAAUGAUUGUAAUGAUAGGAUCUGUUCGUGAUAAUCUGUGGGAGGUUAUAUAGUUUGUAUGGAUCGAUGCUGGCGAGCCAUUUUUAUCUCGUUACUCGAUGACCCGUCACGAAAAAAGGAUAUGACAAUAGCAUUGUUUAACGUCAACUUAUUGAUAAUUCGCUAUUAAAAUAAAUAGUAAAAUGUUUCACUGCCAGACAUUUCUGCUUACUCGCGCUAAGCUCUGAAUAGAUAAAUAUAUUUUGACAUUGACGAUAACUCGUGACAGGCAUAUUGUAACAGUAUGUUAUAAGUUAUCGACAAAACAUCAAAUCUGUGGUGUUUAUACUAGAAGCGGAACUAGCAACUUGUGUGGUCAUAAUGGAACGACGCCAAAACUUAGUUUUCAGCCGACAGUCAACCACAAAACAGAAAUGAAGAAGCGUGCUGUUCCUGGUUACGUUGCCAGAUAGGCCAAAAUCUACCAGUAAUGCCGAUUUAGGCCAAUUUCACGGACAUGAACAUGAAGCAUCUGUGCGAACGCGCUGCUCAGAGCUACCAUCGACAAAAUUACGUUUUUCUUUAUCGCAAAGAAAACAAAAGUUGGUAUUAACAAUGAACCUCUAAACCUGCGGAGCUACGUUCCCUCUUAAUACAAAGCGUUCUUUUGUACCCUG